GCGCCCGUAGCUCAGAAGGAUAGAGCAGCGGUUUCCUAAACCGCGUGUCGCUGGUUCGAGUCCAGUCGGGCGCU
rnacentral:tRNA from 1 species